rnacentral:rRNA from 1 species
UACGUAGGGUGCAAGCGUUGUCCGGAAUUAUUGGGCGUAAAGAGCUCGUAGGCGGUUUGUUGCGUCGGCUGUGAAAUCCCGAGGCUCAACCUCGGGUCUGCAGUCGAUACGAGCAAACUAGAGUGUUGCAGGGGAGACUGGAAUUCCUGGUGUAGCGGUGAAAUGACGCAGAUAUCAGAAGGAACACCGGUGGCGAAGGCGGGUCUCUGGGCAACAACUGACGCUGGAGGAGCGAAAGCCGUGGGGAGCGAACAGG